GACGAACGCUGGCGGCGUGCUUAACACAUGCAAGUCGAACGGAAAGGCCCUGCUUUUGUGGGGUGCUCGAGUGGCGAACGGGUGAGUAACACGUGAGUAACCUGCCCUUGACUUUGGGAUAACUUCAGGAAACUGGGGCUAAUACCGGAUAGGAGCUCCUGCUGCAUGGCGGGGGUUGGAAAGUUUCGGCGGUUGGGGAUGGACUCGCGGCUUAUCAGCUUGUUGGUGGGGUAGUGGCUUACCAAGGCUUUGACGGGGAGCCGGCCUGAGAGGGUGACCGGCCACAUUGGGACUGAGAUACGGCCCAGACUCCUACGGGAGGCAGCAGUGGGGAAUAUUGCACAAUGGGCGGAAGCCUGAUGCAGCAACGCCGCGUGCGGGAUGACGGCCUUCGGGUUGUAAACCGCUUUCGCCUGUGACGAAGCGUGAGUGACGGUAAUGGGUAAAGAAGCACCGGCUAACUACGUG
rnacentral:rRNA from 1 species